rnacentral:rRNA from 1 species
GUGGGUAACCUGCCUUAUAGUGGGGGAUAGCCUUUCGAAAGGAAGAUUAAUACCGCAUAAGAUUGUAGUAUCGCAUGAUAUAGCAAUUAAAGGAGCAAUUCGCUAUAAGAUGGACCCGCGUCGCAUUAGCUAGUUGGUGAGGUAAUGGCUCACCAAGGCGGCGAUGCGUAGCCGACCUGAGAGGGUGAUCGGCCACAUUGGGACUGAGACACGGCCCAGACUCCUACGGGAGGCAGCAUG